UUUCCCGUUGUUCUAGCUUUUCUCCUUUCGCAUUACUUCCCUCUCCACUUUAAUGGCUUCCGGUUCCGGAGAUAGAUCGUCGCUCGAUCCAGCCAGCUCCGACGACUCGGAAAGCCUCCAACUGAGCCUAUAAGGAUCCCCACAGUCGAAGAGAUUCGCGGCCAAGAUAUUUGGAACAACUGUGCAGUUCGCAGUGUUGUUAGUGGAGUCAUCGGUGUGGGCUUGGAUUAUUCCUGGGUUAUUUUUGGGUGCAUUGGACAAUCCAUUGAUGCAAGACGAGAUGUCUGCUAAACAGCAAUUUUGUUUAUACUGCAAAACAGAUGGGACGGCGUAGUUGGGGUUCUGAAAAGCGUUUGCAGCAGAAUGUGUUGUAGAAAAGGCUCGAGAUAAACAUGAUAGAACCAAUAGAGCAGUCGCUGGUUGUGUAACUGGCGGUUCAAUAUCAGCUAAGCUAAAGGUGGCCCAAAGGCAGGUUGUGCUGGUUGUGCGUACUAAUUAAUAUAAAGUUCUAUUAUUAAUUAUUGACGUAUUAAUUAAU